GAUGAACGCUAGCGGCAGGCCUAAUACAUGCAAGUCGAACGGUAAGUAUGAUAGCAAUAUUGUACCAAGAGUGACGUACGGGUGCGUAACACGUAUGCAACCUACCCUUUACAGAUGGAUAGCUCGGGGAAACUCGAAUUAACCCGUCAUAGUAUAGUUGAAUGGCACCAUUUAAUUAUUAAAACUGAGGUGGUAAAGGAUGGGCAUGCGUCUGAUUAG
rnacentral:rRNA from 1 species